ensembl:snRNA U6 U6 spliceosomal RNA
GUGACCUUUAUAGCUACAUAUGUUAACAUAUGAAUGAUACAAUGGAGACUAGCAUGACCCUUGUGCAAGAAUGACUCACCAGCCCCUGAGGUAUUGCAUGUUUGU